rnacentral:rRNA from 1 species
UGGGGAAUAUUGGACAAUGGGGGGAACCCUGAUCCAGCCAUGCCGCGUGUGUGAAGAAGGCCUUAUGGUUGUAAAGCACUUUAAGCGAGGAGGAGGGUACUGGUAUUAAUACUACCAGGUACUGGACGUUACUCGCAGAAUAAGCACCGGCUAACUCUGUGCCAGCAGCCGCGGUAAUACAGAGGGUGCGAGCGUUAAUCGGAUUUACUGGGCGUAAAGCGUGCGUAGGCGGCUAAUUGAGUCGGAUGUGAAAUCCCCGAGCUUAACUUGGCAAUUGCAUUCGAUACUGGUUAGCUAGAGUGUGGGAGAGGAUGGUAGAAUUCCAGGUGUAGCGGUGAAAUGCGUAGAGAUCUGGAGGAAUACCGAUGGCGAAGGCAGCCAUCUGGCCUAACACUGACGCUGAGGUACGAAAGCAUGGGGAGCAAACAGG